GUGGGGAAUAUUGGACAAUGGGCGAAAGCCUGAUCCAGCCAUGCCGCGUGUGUGAAGAAGGUCCUCGGAUUGUAAAGCACUUUAAGUUGGGAGGAAGGGCAGUAAGUUAAUACCUUGCUGUUUUGACGUUACCGACAGAAUAAGCACCGGCUAACUUCGUGCCAGCAGCCGCGGUAAUACGAAGGGUGCAAGCGUUAAUCGGAAUUACUGGGCGUAAAGCGCGCGUAGGUGGUUUUGUAAGUUGGAGGUGAAAUCCCCGGGCUCAACCUGGGAACUGCCUCCAAAACUGCAUGACUAGAGUACGGUAGAGGGUAGUGGAAUUUCCUGUGUAGCGGUGAAAUGCGUAGAUAUAGGAAGGAACACCAGUGGCGAAGGCGACUACCUGGACUGAUACUGACACUGAGGUGCGAAAGCGUGGGGAGCAAACAGGAUUAGAAACCCCGGUAGUCC
rnacentral:rRNA from 1 species